UACGGCCGUAUCACGUUGAAACACCGCUUCUCGUGCGAUCACUGAAGUUAAGCAACGUUGUGUCUUGUCAGUACCUAGAUGCGUGACCACUUGGAAAUACCAGGUGCUGUAAG